AAAUAGUACUUUGCAGAGAGAGUUAACAGGGCGUGAAACCGUUAAUUGGCAAACGAAUCGGAGCCACGAAGUCGUUUCGUUGAUGUUGGGUUAGGUUCAGUUGGUGAUGAAAAUCACUGGCGUAUUCCUAGUUCGACCAUCUUUGUAAGCGUACACUGCAACUAGUUAGACGAUUGGCUAUGGGCUUAGCUGUUGUCUGCAUUAGUAGUAGUAUGGUGCAUUUCGGUGCAUUUAUGUUGCUGGGUGCAUGACAAGUGAACUAUAGCCAAAUACUGACUAGAACAUUGAAAAUCGCCUCUGUGCGUUUUAUAAAAUGCGGCCUGUUGCAUAGAGGUCUACACAUUUGACCAUAGGGUCUAAGCUCAGCAUUUUUGAAUUUAGACUUGCUAGCUACCAGUGGGGCAACUCCUGGUGCUUGUAUAGCUUCUAUCUAAUCGGGUGUUGACUUGGCUUUGUGUCGUUUGAGUGUGAAUCGAUAGGGCUUUUAUGUAAGUGGGUUCGCCAUUGAUUGGCAGUGAGUAGGUCGGCUUUCCGAACGACCCGUCUUGAAACACGGACCAAGGAGUCUAAUUAGGCAUCAAGUCGAUCGGUCUUGAAUAGGCCAGAAUUGUUGGAUUAUCCAACUGAAGGCGAAGAGACAAUCAUGUGAUCGUUUUGGCAAAUCAGCCUUAAUGCGCAACAUGUGCCUGUUCGUAUAGCAAUGUAGCAAUAAUUGCUGGGCGGAGCAAAGAGAUGCUUGAUUGGUACCCGAAAGAUGGUGAUGCCUGGGCAAAUUGAAGCCAGAGGAAACUCUGGUGGAGGAUUGUAGCGAUUCUGACGUGCAAAUCGAUCGUCAGACCUGGGUAUAGGGGCGAAAGACUAAUCGAACCAUC
rnacentral:rRNA from 1 species